AACGAACGCUGGCGGCAGGCUUAACACAUGCAAGUCGAGCGCCCCGCAAGGGGAGCGGCAGACGGGUGAGUAACGCGUGGGAAUCUACCCAUCUCUACGGAAUAACGCAUGGAAACGUGUGCUAAUACCGUAUACGUCCUUCGGGCGAAAGAUUUAUCGGAGAUGGAUGAGCCCGCGUUGGAUUAGCUAGUUGGUGGGGUAAAGACCUACCAAGGCGACGAGCCAUAGCUGGUCUGAGAGGAUGAUCAGCCACACUGGGACUGAGACACGGCCCAGACUCCUACGGGAGGCAGCAGUGGGGAAUAUUGGACAAUGGGCGCAAGCCUGAUCCAGCCAUGCCGCGUGAGUGAUGAAGGCCCUAGGGUUGUAAAGCUCUUUCACCGUUGAAGAUAAUGACGGUAACCGGAGAAGAAGCCCCGGCUAACUUCGUGCCAGCCGCCGCCGUAACAC
rnacentral:rRNA from 1 species